rnacentral:ncRNA from 1 species
ACCUUAUCAAGAGAGGUGGAGGGAAUGGGCCCAAUGAAACCCGGCAACCUGUAAUAUAUUACAAGGUGCUAAGUCCCACAGAACACGGAUUCUGAAAGAUGAGGU